GACGAACGCUGGCGGCGUGCUUAACACAUGCAAGUCGAACGAAGUGGCGAACGGGUGAGUAAUACGUGAGUAACCUGCCCUCCUUUUUGGGAUAAGCCUUUGAAACGGUGUCUAAUACCGAAUAAAGGGGCAUGUGCUCGCGGCCUAUCAGCUUUGUGGGGGGGUGAUGGCCUACCAAGGCGGUGACGGGUAGCCGGCCUGAGAGGGUGACCGGCCACACUGGAACUGAGACACGGUCCAGACUCCUACGGGAGGCAGCAGUGGGGAAUAUUGGACAAUGGGCGAAAGCCUGAUGCAGCCAUGCAGCGUGUGUGAAGAAGGUCUGCGGAUUGUAAAGCACUUUAAGUUGGGAGACGUUACCAAAAGAAUAAGCACCGGAUAACUUCGUGCCAGCAGCCGCGGUAAUUC
rnacentral:rRNA from 1 species